AAUAUUGCACAAUGGGCGCAAGCCUGAUGCAGCAACGCCGCGUGAGGGAUGACGGCCUUCGGGUUGUAAACCUCUUUUGUCAAGGAAGAAGCCUUCGGGUGACGGUACCUGGAGAAAAAGCACCGGCUAACUACGUGCCAGCAGCCGCGGUAAUACGUAGGGUGCAAGCGUUGUCCGGAAUUAUUGGGCGUAAAGAGCUCGUAGGCGGCUUGUCGCGUCUGCCGUGAAAGCCCGAGGCUCAACCUCGGGUCUGCGGUGGGUACGGGCAGGCUAGAGUGCGGUAGGGGAGAUUGGAAUUCCUGGUGUAGCGGUGGAAUGCGCAGAUAUCAGGAGGAACACCGAUGGCGAAGGCAGAUCUCUGGGCCGUAACUGACGCUGAGGAGCGAAAGCCUGGGGAGCGAACAG
rnacentral:rRNA from 1 species